GUCCUUGCCUUAAACGAUGUAUACUUGGCGUAACUGGCCUCAACCCCGGUUGUGCCGAAGCUAACGCGAUAAGUAUACCGCCUGGGGAGUACAGUCGCAAGGCUGAAACUCAAAAGAAUUGACGGGGACCCCGCACAAGCAGUGGAGCAUGUGGUUUAAUUCGAUGCAACGCGAAGAACCUUACCCAGGCUUGACAUGCACUAGACAGCUUCAGAAAUGAAGUCUUCCUUCGGGACUGGUGCACAGGUGCUGCAUGGCUGUCGU
rnacentral:rRNA from 1 species